GGUGCAGUUUCGCUCUGACUCACUCUUGCUUACUGCCGUGGAAACGCAUUGACUCUGCAGUACUACGGGGCGGUUGCAUGAAUGAAUAAAGCACCUUUUCCUAAAGAGUGUCCGGGGGAUGUGGGUGUAUUUCUAAACCUUUAGGAAACAGCUUUCAUGUUUGCCAAGAAGAUCAUUUCAGGAAGGGAAGUGUGUUACUCAAAAGCCAUCCGUGCACUUUUACCCCACCUCCCACAAACUUCUAAGAUCUGCACGUUCGCAAGAAAUACUCAGCAGGACAGCAGAAUUGCGUUUCUGCAGUAAAACAGAGGCAUUUAGGCAAACGCUGUUCCCCCGCAGCGUGGGGUGCGGGAAAGUCUGUCCUGGCCUUGGACCUGGGCCGCCUGCGCUGGGUGACCCUGCAGAGGCUGGGCUUGGGCUCGGUGCUCUCCAGAGGUCCCGUCCUCCGCAGCAGGGUGGCAUUCACGCUUGCUAAAGGGGCCACCUGUGUGCAAGGCUUUUCUCAUGUUAGCACGCUUUUCUGUGGGCAAAUUUUUACAUUUGUUUUGCGUUCUUUGUCUCUGUCAUUACUUUCGGACAAAGGAACAUUGUGGAUUUUAUGCACUAUCUAUUCUAGAUAUAGCUUGGAGGAUCCCCUAGAUUUCCAGGCUACCAUAAGGGUGUGUUUCUUUCUUUCCUUUUCAAAAAUCCCCCAUUUCUCAUCCCUUCAGGUUCGGGAGAUCUGCUGUCAGUGACGCUCGGGGGGAAGCGGACACUUGGUGGCCUUUUGUUCACCUUGUGUGAAGAGCAGUUUGAGGCAAUGGCGUUUGCCCUCUCAGCAGCCCCAUCGCCGAUGACUAACAGUUCCUGAUGGGUGAAGCACAAAGUGGACUGCUUUUUUUUUUUUUUUUUUGCUUUUUUUUUCAAGACUUUUUUUUUUUUUUUUGCUGGCAAGGCAUGACGUCUGAUUUUUCACUUCUGGAAACCUGCUUUCUAGCACCCUUGUCGGACUUCGCAAUGUGACUCAUGUCAAUCUCAACAGAAACCGGUGAGAUCUCGGCCCUGGCGUUCCAGGGAGUGGGGAGCGUGUGCUCGGAGCGAGCAGGGAGGAUGCACGAGGCUUCCUCAGAUGAGUGAGUUCGCAGGAAAGUUAAGGAGAGAGAGCAGGUGAUCCAACCUGGGCGUUUCUCCUGCGAGGCAUCUUCAUGACAGAGACCCAAGGCAAAAUGUGAACUUGAGUUAUGAAAGCGGCAGAGUUCGGCAAUUGAAAAGGCGUUGCUGAAAUCGCAUUGCUCCCAGGGGUACGACCUGCUUCCCCGGGGGACCCGGGGUGUCUGCUCCGCUCAGCAUUGCUCUCGCCUGUGCUUCUUCAGCAAUUUCCCUGGGAUUUACCUUUUCAUGGAAGGCCGAGGAAGGUUUACUUCAGUAACGGGAACGGGCACCGAAGUCCCUUUGUGGUUAUUGCUUUCCAUGUAGAUUUUGAAGGCUGUAACUAGGAAGUGGAAGA